CGACCUCGUGCGGGAGAGUCCACCGGUCCUGUGGCCGGCGGCGCCGAAGGAGCAAAUCCUCCCCGGAAUCUCUCAGGCCCCCGUACCGCACGGGCGAA
rnacentral:ncRNA from 1 species